CGGAUGCUCCGGUUGGAUGCAUGUCCUUCCGGGAAAGAUUCUAUCGGUAUGGGAUGGGGUCGCGUCCUAUCAGCUUGAUGGCGGGGUAACGGCCCACCAUGGCUUCGACGGGUAGCCGGCCUGAGAGGGCGACCGGCCACAUUGGGACUGAGAUACGGCCCAGACUCCUACGGGAGGCAGCAGUGGGGAAUAUUGCACAAUGGGCGCAAGCCUGAUGCAGCGACGCCGCGUGCGGGAUGGAGGCCUUCGGGUUGUAAACCGCUUUUGAUCGGGAGCAAGCCCUUCGGGGUGAGUGUACCUUUCGAAUAAGCACCGGCUAACUACGUGCCAGCAGCCGCGGUAAUACGUAGGGUGCAAGCGUUAUCCGGAAUUAUUGGGCGUAAAGGGCUCGUAGGCGGUUCGUCGCGUCCGGUGUGAAAGCCCAUCGCUUAACGGUGGGUCUGCGCCGGGUACGG
rnacentral:rRNA from 1 species